rnacentral:rRNA from 1 species
UGGCGGCGUGCCUAAUACAUGCAAGUCGAGCGGUAAGGCUCCUUCGGGAGUACACGASCGGCGGACGGCAGAGUAACGCGUAGGAACGUACCCCAAACUGAGGGAUAAGCACCAGAAAUGGUGUCUAAUACCGCAUGUGCUCCUCGGAGUAAAGCUUCGGCGGUUUGGGAACGGCCUGCGUAUGAUUAGCUUGUUGGUAAGGUAAAAGCUUACCAAGGCGACGAUCAUUAGCUGGUCUGAGAGGAUGAUCAGCCUGACUGGGACUGAGAACGGCCCAGACUCCUACGGGAGGCAGCAGUAGGGAAUUUUCCACAAUGGGCGAAAGCCUGAUGGAGCAACGCCGCGUGCAGGAUGAAUGCCUUCGGGUUGUAAACUGCUUUUAUAUGUGAAGAUUAUGACGGUAGCAUAUGAAUAAGGAUCGGCUAACUCCGUGCCAGCAGCCGCGGUCAUACGGAGGAUCCAAGCGUUAUCCGGAAUUACUGGGCGUAAAGAGUUGCGUAGGUGGCAGAGUAAG